ACAACCUCAAUUUAAGUGAGAUUACCCGCUGAACUUAAGCAUAUCAGUAAGCGGAGAAAAGAAGUAUUUAUCGGU
rnacentral:rRNA from 1 species